rnacentral:rRNA from 1 species
UACGAAGGGGGCUAGCGUUGUUCGGAUUUACUGGGCGUAAGCGCACGUAGGCGGAUCGAUCAGUCAGGGUGAAAUCCCAGAGCUCAACUCUGGAACUGCCUUUGAUACUGUCGAUCUGGAGUAUGGAAGAGGUGAGUGGAAUUCCGGAGUGAUAGAGGUGAAAUUCGUAGAUAUUCGGAGGAACACCAGUGGCGAAGGCGGCUCACUGGUCCAUUACUGACGCUGAGGUGACGAAAGCGUGGGGAGCAAACAGG